UUGGUGUGAAUAUUGUCCGAUAUGUGAUGAAAAGAUUAUCCGAAAAGAAGCCAACACGACAAGUGGAACGACAUCUAGAAUCACUGGGCGCCACAAUUCCGGAGAGAUCAAAAAAAUCCGAGAAAAACGGCAAAAAAUUCGAUGAUUUUUUGAAUGAUGAUGAUGAUGAUAGUGAAAAUGAUGUCGGAGGAGGCUCAGAGGAUGAUGAAGAGGAGGAAAUCGUGAUGAAGAGUAAACGAAUUAUUCCGGAUUCUGAGGAUGAAGAGGAGCACAUUGAGCAAGAAGAAGCUCAAAAGAAAUUGGAAAAAGUCGCUGAAAAACCAAAUACUCUAAUGGGAAUGAUUGCUGGGAGAAAACGGAAGCUUGCUCAGCUGGAAAGUGAUUCUAGUGAUGAAAGUGACGAUGAUGAUAGUGCUGAAAAAGAAGAGAAAAAGCUACCAGCUGCAGAGGAUGAUAGUGAUUUGGAAGAGGAUGCUGUUAUUUAUAAGG
rnacentral:sRNA from 1 species